GACUCUUAGUUGGUCACCGAGCCUCAGUUCGAACGCAUCGUUUUACUGUCGUCUCUGAGAAAUGCUUAAAGUUCUUGAUUUUAUUUAUAUUAUCUGUUUCUUGGUAGUCUGUGACGUAUGACAUGGGCAAGAAUGAAAAUUAAUUUUGAAGGAGCAUCUAGGUGUAUAUUUUGCUUCUCCUGAUUUGUUGUUGUAACGUCAAUUCUUUUUGUUAUUCAACUGUUGUUUCUGCUUUUGCUUUUGGCGUUCCUAUGGAAGUGGCAGUUGGUCACGUCUCGCCAUGCUUGAUUGGCUCACGGACAAGGUGCUGGACAUUCAAGGCACCACACUUUUAGAAUAAACCUCAAGAGGCUAAAUGGUCGUCCAAGGUUGGCCAACAACAUUUGGAGAGCGAGUUGAUAGUUAAGUGGUGGUGUUAAGAGAAGAAUGGCCACUUUGUGGCAGCCAUUCGAGUUGUCUCCUGUCUUUCUCGACUCCACAUCAUGGCCAUCAGUUGGAGGAUCCAGGGCCACUUCCUCGAUGAGAGUUGAAGAAAACAUACUUUGCUGAAGUAUAGUCCCAAGUCUGGAGGCCGUUGUGCAGGUGUACACAGCUACACACCGAAUUUCUGAAGAUAAAAUGCACCUGGAUCGUUUGAUGGUUUAGUAAAAUCGCAAUAGACGUUUACGAUUUUGUUGCUUUCCAUGAUGGAAAACAAUCCGCUUUUCUUGUGGCCAAUUUGCUGGAGGUCGCCGCAUGAGCCGGGCAUUCUGCCGAUGGAUGAGGCGGCCGUACUCACUGCCAAAUAGUUUUUAUGGUUAGUUGAAGACCUGUUAAUCAACUCAUUUUAGUUGAGUUGACAUUUGGACAACUUCUUUCACUUUCGACCUGCUCAGAACUUUGUCUUUUAUCCAUGGAAGGAGAUGAUCUAUACCCGUGUCAAGGUGACUGUGAAAAAUGAACUGAUUACAAAUUCAAAUCUCGUGUAAAGUCACAAAGUCUCUGUAGAAUCUAGAAGAAAACCGAAAGUGGCGAUUCUCCAAGUAUGGACUUGAGUGAACCAGUUCAGUUCAUCCGAGUUCAUCUGGUACGAAGCUGAUGCUAUCAACGUUGUUGAAGACGACAAGAAGUUGGUCGAUGGCUUCCUCACAGCACAUGUGAGGCCCAGUGGUUGGCUCUAGUGGCCGUCGUUAUUGAGGUUCGUUUUUGUUUUAAUUGUUCUUUAAUGAAAUUUGAUUUGUCUCAAGAGCAGGUUGAGAAAGGUCCAGCAUUUGGUUUGCGUCGAGGAGAAAUUAUACGUCAGGAUGAACUUUUCUAAUAAAUUGACGCUGACAAUUCCGAGCUGCCCGGCGCCAUUCUGCAGAGACAGACGUCAUCCGCCAGCAGUUUGCCUAUCAACUGCGGCGACAGCAGCGAACACGAAUGGCCCGACAGCAUUAAACAAUUCCAGUUUCCUUUUAUUAAUUAUACUUUCGUUUUAAUUGUCGACUCUGUUUCUAUUUUUCAGCUUCUUCGCCCGUCCCGACCCAACCGAUGGAAGGGGAGAAUCCAUCGCUGGAACAACCAGACCAGCAACAAACAACGGAGCUGUUGCAGACGAGCCGGAGCUAUUCGAGUCUGAACGGAAUCGUUAUGAAAUGAUCAACGUCGAAAGUGAGGAAGAGCGCCAUCCAGCAGCAGACGCAAACGCUCAAGGCUAGCGAGGUGGUCCCCAGCCAAUAGCCGGGCAAGAAAUCUCGCCACGUCCUGAAAGAAGGGUUGGAUUAUUUAAAAAUCUCAAACUGGACGGAUUUGAUUUGCGGGGGUCGGGGCAAUUUAAAUCACAGGCUGAAGUCACCUGUGUUGAUGAUUUCCAAAUUAGGUUUUAAACGACAGUCAUAUUUUUUCAGAUGAUGCUAGUGUAAUCGACAUUCCAAUCGGCCCCUCCUUCUUAUACCCUCCUGUUUACACAUAAUCAAAUGCAUUUUUCUUUUUUUUUUUUAAAAUCUGAUUAUUAUUUUUGAGAGAAUUUGACUUGGGGCAGAGUUGACUGUGUACUUGUGCAGCCUUCCCCUCAUGACCCGUCAGACGAAAAGAAAUGAAAACAAGAAAUUCUAUUGAUGAUGAUUUCCAUUGUUUCUGUACACACAUUUGACUUCCCACUAUUUGCUUUUGCAACCCCAUUCAACGACGAUAAGAACCGCGCCGUUGCUUUUUUUCUUUUGCGUGUUCAUUCUGUUUAAUUUCGUGUUUCCUUUCCCGUCAACAACGAAAAAUAUCUCCGUCCUUUUUGCGACGUCCCACAUUCCAUCACACACACACCAGAUUUUAAAAGAAAAGUCACAAAAAAAUAUUUGACCGUGUGCGCGUAGUGAGUAUUUGUGUGCAUCAUGUAGCCCAUCCCAGCAGAAAA